ACAGACCCCACUGAGAACCAUGGGGCGAGUGUGAAGCUGAAUACAUGCAGCUCCUCUGCACAGACAGCAGGGGGCGACAUGACGCCAUACAUAACAACUCAAUAACCAUGGGACACUCUGGAGUUUUGUUUUGUUGUUUUGUGACCAGUUCCUUCUGCUAAAUCAGUCUUUGAUACUUUUUAUUGUGUGCCAAACCAUUAUAUUCCCUUUUUGUACAUUGUUAAGUGUGAAUAUGGUUUGCACCUGACAGCUGUGGGUGUGUGUGUGUGUGUGUGUGUGUGUGUGUGUGUGCGGAUGUGGCGACUACGAGAAGGAGCUGUGAGCCUCAGAGUAAAGACAGAUGGCACAGUUCCAAGAAAACCUUGAGAUGAACACGAGAAACAGGGGAAGUGGUGCUGAAGUCGGUUAUCUCCUCUGUUUAUUCCACUGAAGCACACUGGAAGGGUCGCGGGGAACCUGGAGCCUAACCCAGGGGACUUGGGGCACAAGGCGGGGUACACCCUGGACAGGGUGCCAACCCAUUGCAGGGCACAAUCUCACACACACUCACUACAGACAAUUUAGAGAUACCAGUCAGCCUACAAUGCCAGUCAGUCUUUGGACAGGGGGAGGAGACUGGAGUACCCGGAGGAAACCCCCAAAGCAUGGGGAGAACAUGCAAACACAGGGCGGAGGCAGGUUUCUAACCCCCAAUCCUGGCAGUACGACGCAAACUGUGCUAACCACUAAGCCACCGUGCCUCCCAGGAUAACAACCAGGUUUCACUAUUAGCCCCUAAAUACGAAACAACUUCUUUUCUCAUUCACAACUUUCAGGUUUCAUUAUCAUAUUAAUGAGAAAUCCAGUGUAGAAGCAGUGGAGACAGAGCACACAUUAGACUCAAAGCUGCAGAAUGCAAUGCAGCAAUACAAUGCAGUUGUGCUGAGUCUCAGCUCUACUAGUUAGCAUUCUGCAAGAUGAUGAGCAUGAUGGUGUGGACAGCAGAACUAGUGUGAAUCCUGAAGAUUUAGAACUUUAUCUGUUUGAGGAGAUGAGAGAGCUGAACAGAAUAAAGGACUAAAACACUGAUGCAUCGCUCUCUCUUGGUAGAAAUGAAGCACCAAUGUUGCAUUUGACUCAAGAUCCUAACUCAUUAUUUCUGACCUAAGAAAAAAAAAUUAAGAAAAUGUCCCCUCAACUCAGAAUCCCUACUUGGGAACUCAGGAUGGUCUCCUCAAGCCAGAGUUCAGCAAGUGAUGUUAAAUCACCCAGCAUCAGCAGUAAACAAAAGUAGCACUUCUAACCUUUAAAUGAGCUAUACUGUAUAUACAAGUAUCUGGUUUAGCUCAAUUAACAUAGAGACAUAUUCGCUUGUUAAAUCUAUAACACUAUACAGUUUGUUGUUUUUUCGGCAGGAAAAUAUACAUCACACAUCAUUGUUAGCUGGCUAGCUUGUUGCUAACAGAAGACGAACAGGGAGGCGUCCAUGGUUUUUCCCACUUUGUAGCUCGAACAUACCAAGGUUGAAAAUGACAUAUCUCUGAACUUGCACCUCCCACUUCCAAGGGUUGCAGUGGAUCCGGAGCUUAUCCUGGGAACACUGGGUGCAAGGUGGAAGAAUUUACCCCAGAUUGGACACCAGUCCAUUGCAUUGCACCAUGCACACAUACACACAUUCACACACCGAUGGGGAGAACAUCUGAAACUCCACACAAACAGUAACCCAAGCUCAGGAUCAAACAAGGAACCCUGAAGCUGUAAGGCAGCAAUGCUACUCGCUGCACCACCAUGCCACCUCAUUUUUUGCUAAUUCUUGUUACACUAUAUAUUACAUUAAAACAGCAACAUUUAUAUGCUCUUGUAGAUUUAGACUGUAUGAUCCUCUAUGCAGUAUGCAAUAUUGUUACUAUCACUUGCAGUAAAUAAAUUUGACUUUUUCAUGGUAAUGAAGAACAGUGAGAUAUGCGAAAAGCAAGCUGUCGAUAUCAAGAUCCAAACAAUGUUAACAAUGCAAAGAGCGCUCCACAGAAAAAAAAAUAAAUAAAUUUUUAAAUCUUUACACCAGUCAGACCCAAGGAAUGAAGGCCAUUGAAUUUGUACAGACCACUGUCCAGAAUUACUGGCACUCUUAAUAAAGAUGGGUAAAAAAGAUCAUAAAAUAUCUCUGUGGUUAAAAAAUUAAUGCCGCACUGAAAAUAUGAGACAAAUAUGACCAGAUGUAGUGAUAAUAUAUAAGGAGCAAAAAUCAGCAGUGGUGGCAGACAAUCUGAUGCGGUGGUAAAUUCAAAGCGAAGGGAUAGAAGAAGCUGGAGAAAUAUCAGGACUGAAAGAAUAACUUAGAAAUGUCUUUACCUUCCGACUUUUCUCUAUUAAGCGUAUUCAAGGUCAUGACCCUAAUUCUGAAAGAAGAGCUUAAACAGAUUCCUGAAAUAACACUGAUGACAGUCUAGAAGAGAACAACCUCAGGAAUGUGGAAGCAGCCACUCCCAGGUAGGAGAAAAAAGGGUGAAACAGGUUUUCUAUAUGACAGUCCUCUUUCUUUCAGAAUGCAAUGCAGCGAUACACCGCAGUUGCACCGAGUCUCAGCUCUACUAGUUAGCAUUCUGCAAGAUGAUGAGCAUGAUGGUGUGGACAGCAGAACUAGUGUGAAUCCUGAAGAUUUAGAACUUUAUCUGUUUGAGGAGAUGAGAGAGCUGAACAGAAUAAAGGACUAAAACACUGAUGCAUCGCUCUCUCUUGGUAGAAAUGAAGCAAGAGCCAAUGUUGCAUUUGACUCAAGAUCCUAACUUGUAAUUUCUGACUUAAGAAAAAACUAAGAAAACGUCCCCUCAACUCAGAAUCCCUACUUGGGAACUCAGGAUGGUCUCCUCAAGCCAGAGUUCAGCAAGUGAUGUUAAAUCACCCAACAUCAGCAGUAAACAAAAGUAGCACUUCUGACCUUUAAAUGAGUUAUACUGUAUAUAUAAGUAUUUAAGAUCAAUCAGCAUACAGACAUAUUCGUUUUUUAAUCUACCACACUGAAUAUACAGCUUGUUGUUUUGAGGAUCAAAAUAUACAUCACUCAUCUCAGUUAAUUGGGUAGCUUGUUGCUAACAGAAGAUGAACAUGGAGGUGUCCAUUGCUUUUCCCCCACUUUGUAGCUCAAAUGCACAGAGGUUGAAAUAACUCCGACCUGCCCCCUCCGAGGUAAAUCAAAUGCAGCAUAAAUCCCACUUGCGCCACUAUAAGCAGCCAGCCAAACCGUUAACCAAAGAGAAAACAGAUAAAAAAAUAUCAAAGAAAGGCAUUUAAACUAAAAAUGUCAACUCAGUAGUUCAUCACAAAAUAAAUCUUAGAC